CUACGGGGCGCUGCAGUAGGGAAUCUUGCGCAAUGGGCGAAAGCCUGACGCAGCCAUGCCGCGUGAAUGAUGAAGGUCUUAGGAUUGUAAAAUUCUUUCACCGGGGACGAUAAUGACGGUACCCGGAGAAGAAGCUCCGGCUAACUUCGUGCCAGCAGCCGCGGUAAUACGAAGGGGGCUAGCGUUGCUCGGAAUUACUGGGCGUAAAGGGCGCGUAGGCGGACAGUUUAGUCAGAGGUGAAAGCCCAGGGCUCAACCUUGGAAUAGCCUUUGAUACUGGCUGUCUUGAGUGCGGGAGAGGUGUGUGGAACUCCGAGUGUAGAGGUGAAAUUCGUAGAUAUUCGGAAGAACACCAGUGGCGAAGGCGACACACUGGCCCGUUACUGACGCUGAGGCGCGAAAGCGUGGGGAGCAAACAGGAUUAGAUACCCCCGUAGUC
rnacentral:rRNA from 1 species